rnacentral:rRNA from 1 species
UACGAAGGGGGCAAGCGUUGUUCGGAAUUACUGGGCGUAAAGGGCGCGUAGGCGUCUUAUCAAGUCAGGCGUGAAAUUCCCGGGCUCAACCUGGGGGCUGCGCUUGAUACUGAUUGGCUUGAAUGCGGGAGAGGAUAGUGGAAUUCCCAGUGUAGAGGUGAAAUUCGUAGAUAUUGGGAAGAACACCGGUGGCGAAGGCGGCUAUCUGGCCCGUAAUUGACGCUGAGGCGCGAAAGCGUGGGGAGCAAACAGG